CAAGUCGAACGUGAAAGCCCCCUUCGGGGGGCAAGUAGAGUGGCGCACGGGUGAGUAACACGUAGGUAAUCUACCUUCGGAUGGGGAAUAACAACCGGAAACGGUUGCUAAUACCGCAUAAUGCAGCGGCACCUAAUGGUGACAGUUGUUAAAGCGGGGGAUCGAAAGACCUCGCGUCUGAAGAGGAGCCUGCGGCGGAUUAGCUAGUUGGUAAGGUAAUGGCUUACCAAGGCGACGAUCCGUAGCCGGCCUGAGAGGGCGGUCGGCCACACUGACACUGACAUACGGGUCAGACUCCUACGGGAGGCAGCAGUCGGGAAUUUUGGGCAAUGGGCGAAAGCCUGACCCAGCAACGCCGCGUGAAGGAUGAAAUCCCUCGGGAUGUAAACUUCGCAAGAACGGGAAGAAUAAGUUGGUGCUAACACCACCGGCGAUGACGGUACCGUUUGUAAGCUCCGGCUAACUCCGUGCCAGCAGCCGCGGUAAUACGGGGGGAGCAAGCGUUGUUCGGAUUUACUGGGCGUAAAGGGCGCGUAGGCGGCCACCGCAAGUCAAUUGUGAAAUCUCCGGGCUUAACUCGGAAAGGUCAACUGAUACUGCGGGGCUAGAGUGCAGAAGGGGCAACUGGAAUUCUCGGUGUAGCGGUGAAAUGCGUAGAUAUCGAGAGGAACACCUGCGGCGAAGGCGGGUUGCUGGGCUGACACUGACGCUGAGGCGCGAAAGCUAGGGGAGCGAACGGGAUUAGAUACCCCGGUAGUCCUAGCCUUAAACGAUGAAUGCUUGGUGUCUGGGGUUUUAAAGUCCCCGGGUGCC
rnacentral:rRNA from 1 species